AUUGAACGCUGGCGGCAGGCCUAACACAUGCAAGUCGAGCGGUAGAGAGGUGCUUGCACCUCUUGAGAGCGGCGGACGGGUGAGUAAUGCCUAGGAAUCUGCCUGGUAGUGGGGGAUAACGCUCGGAAACGGACGCUAAUACCGCAUACGUCGUACGGGAGAAAGCAGGGGACCUUCGGGCCUUGCGCUAUCAGAUGAGCAUAGGUCGGAUUAGCUAGUUGGUGAGGUAAUGGCUCAUCAAGGAGACGAUCCGUAACUGGUCUGAUAGGAUGAUCAGUCACACUGGAACUGAGACACGGUCCAGAGUCCUACGGGAGGCAGCAGUGGGGAAUAUUGGACAAUGGGCGAAAGCCUGAUCCAGCAAUGCCGCGUGUGUGAAGAAGGUCUUCGGAUUGUAAAGCACUUUAAGUUGGGAGGAAGGUUCGUUACCUAAUACGUGACGAUUUUGACGUUACCGACAGAAUAAGCACCGGCUAACUCUGUGCCAGCAGCCGCCGUAACAC
rnacentral:rRNA from 1 species